UACGUAGGCAGCGAGCGUUGUUCGGAAUUACUGGGCGUAAAGAGUGUGUAGGCGGUGUUCCCAGUCUGUUGUGAAAUCUCCCGGCUUAACUGGGAGGGUGCAGCGGAAACUAGAAUGCUAGAGGGUGGGAGAGGUAAGCGGAAUUCCUGGUGUAGCGGUGAAAUGCGUAGAUAUCGGGAGGAACACCUGUGGCGAAAGCGGCGCACUGGACCACAACUGACGCUGAGGCGCGAAAGCUAGGGGAGCAAACAGG
rnacentral:rRNA from 1 species